CAAGGUUGAUCCUCUCUCCUUAACUCAUGCCGCUGUGCCUAUUUAUUUAUUUCACAAUUGUGUGAGUUGAGCACAGAGUGUCACCCCG
rnacentral:pre_miRNA from 1 species